GACCCGCCCCCAACCUCGGCCCGCUGCCCAGGUGCUCAGGCUCAGCAUUGGGCUCCGAGGCCAGGGAACCAGAUAUACAUACCGAGGCCUCCAGAGCCAGCCCCCAGGUGCAAUCGGAGAGGGGACAACGGUCACCGGACAAAGAUCACGGUCAGGGCUGGGUGGACUGGCCAGGCCCCUCCCCCAGACGUGGCCAUGUUCCUCACCGGGACCACUCAGCUCACUGAAGGU